rnacentral:rRNA from 1 species
AGAAUCAACGCUGGCGGCGUGCCUAACACAUGCAAGUCGCACGAGAAAGGGUCUUCGGAUCUGAGUAAAGUGGCGCACGGGUGAGUAACACGUGACUAAUCUACCCUCGAGUGGGGAAUAACCUCUGGAAACCUGGGCUAAUACCGCAUAACACUUACGAGUCAAAGCAGCAAUGCGCUUGGGGAGGAGGUCGCGGCAGAUUAGCUAGUUGGCGGGGUAAUGGCCCACCAAGGCAAUGAUCUGUAUCCGGCCUGAGAGGGCGCACGGACACACUGGAACUGAAACACGGUCCAGACUCCUACGGGAGGCAGCAGUGGGGAAUUUUGCGCAAUGGGGGAAACCCUGACGCAGCAACGCCGCGUGGAGGAUGAAGUCUCUUGGGACGUAAACUCCUUUCGAUAGGGAAGAUAAUGACUGUACCUAUAGAAGAAGCCCGGCUAACUUCGUGCCAGCAGCCGC